AUUCAUUCCUCUGUCAAUGGACAUUAAAUUUGCUUCCAUGUCCUGGCUAUUAUUGUAAACAGUGCUGCAGUGAACAUUGGGGUGCAUGUAUUCUUCUGGAUCAUGAACAUGUCCUUUUUGAUGGAAUAAACCUUUAAUUAAUAGAUGUUCAGAUGAUCAUGCCACAUAUUACCAGUGUGCACCUCCCCUUUCUCAUGAAGACCCUUACCAAGGUAAAGUCUGGCAAACUUCAUCAAUGAGAAGACAAGAUUCCGAAUUCUAGUGAUCAAGAUGAACUGGAAAACUUUUUCUUUAAUUUUCCUGGACUCCCCUGAACCUUUGAGGAAGGCAGAAAAAGUCUUUGCCUCAAGCGUUAUUUUCUUCAGGUGACACCAUCUGGGAAUACAGGUAGCCAUCAGGUACCACCAGAUCACUUCUUUUGGUAUCUGCAAGAGUAACUUCUCUUCUCAGCCACAAAUAGGUUCUUUCUUUUCAAACCCUUGCAGAGACUAUAUUCCCAAUAUCCCAACAUGCCCGAGGUCAGAGACUGUUGAUCAGUGGCCAGCUGUACCUUGGGUCUUAGUCUGAUUGUGAAGAAGGAUGAAGUCAGGAAGAGCUCUGUGAACACACUAUGGAAUGCAGCCUUUUGUAACAGCCCCCUGUACAGGAGGAAAUGUUUUUCUUCAAGACCAUUCCUGAUUCUGGUUUCCUAAUUCCAUUUCUGAGCAGCUUCUCUGCACUGUGUUGGCUGUCUUUGGGAAAACAGAAGGCCCUCCUGAAGAUGGUGAAACUGUCCCUUGUCUCUCAAUGGAAAGUAAACACCUGGGAACUUUUCAGCUCAACAUAUUGCGGCCCUGAGACUGCCAAGAUUCUUCACUGUGAAAGUUCUCCAAGGAUUAGCCUAUUCCUGUUCUUCCUGUUCCACACAUAAAUAUUAAUUACCCCUAAAUACAGCCCAUUUACUAGCAUCAGUCAUGAAAAAUUUAAAAUGCCAAGCGAGUGUGAGAGAAACUUGACUGUAAAUAAUUGUUACAUUGUUCUGUUUGUUCUCAGCAUUGGUAGUUAGGAGUUUGUGAGAAAGGGGAAGCUGUGAGCAUGCAUGGCCUGUGGAUGAUAAUUACAAAAUGCCAGAAGGAGAGUCUUGAAUUUUUUAAAGAGGCUUUAAUGACUCCCAGGACAUUGAGGCAGAGCAGCAUGGAUCUUGUUGAGGAAAAAAAAAGUCAGUGUUACAGAAAAUUCAUUGCCUGGUUAGAAUGCAGAGAGGGGAUGGAUACUAAACAUUCCAUCUGAACUGUUCAGGUGGCCAAUGGGGAAUUUAAUUUUAUGAAAUGUGGUUUUGUCAUCUUUCAACCUGGCAGAAUGGUAACUCAAAGGGUGGAGGAGAAAUGGAGGUGCAGAAUUAUAUUAUUUAAAUGGUAUUUGUAAAGACCACUGAGAUAUUUCAUCCUUCUUUCUCUGAGGAAAAAGGUACAAAAAUGAUGUCCUAAAGGCAUAUGAGAUCAGUUGGAAUAAGUUAAGUGGCAAAGACAAUAAUAAUGUAACAGAGAAAUAUAACCUGUAUUAUUUAAAUUAUUCAAAG
rnacentral:lncRNA from 1 species